rnacentral:tRNA from 1 species
GGGGUUGUGGCUCAGUGGUAGAGCACUUGCUUAGCAUGUAUGAGGAACUGGGUUCAAUCCUCAACCACA